rnacentral:rRNA from 1 species
AUACGUAGGUGGCAAGCGUUGUCCGGAAUUACUGGGUGUAAAGGGUGCGUAGGCGGGGAUGCAAGUCAGAUGUGAAAUCUAUCGGCUCAACUGGUAAACUGCAUUUGAAACUGCAUUUCUUGAGGGGUGGAGAGGUAAGCGGAAUUCCUAGUGUAGCGGUGAAAUGCGUAGAUAUUAGGAGGAACACCAGUGGCGAAGGCGGCUUACUGGACACUAACUGACGCUGAGGCACGAAAGCAUGGGGAGCAAACAGGAUUAGAUACCCUGGUAGUCCAUGCCGUAAACGAUGAUUACUAGGUGUAGGGGGUGUCGACCCCUUCUGUGCCGGAGUUAACACAAUAAGUAAUCCACCUGGGGAGUACGGCCGCAAGGUUGAAACUCAAAGGAAUUGACGGGG